UCCCUGACGGUCCAGUGGUGAGGACUCCAUGCUUCCACUGUGGGGUCCACGGGUUUGAUUCCUGGUCGGGGAG
rnacentral:tRNA from 1 species